rnacentral:lncRNA from 1 species
GCAGGAGGUGGGCUGCUACAUCCAGAGCCAGCGAGUGCCCAGCAGGUGGGUAGAGGGCAGUGGCAGGGGAUGUAGAGGUGCAUGAUCAUGCGCGUCACUCUGAUCCCAAGCCACCGAGGCCCCAGCCUUCAGGAUCCUGAGCCACGGAGCCCCCCAUCCCCCAGCCUUCAGGAUCCUGAGCCACGGAACCCCCAACCCCCAGCCUCCUGAGCCACGGAACCCCCAACCCCCAGCCUCCUGAGCCACGGAGCCCCCCACCCCAGCCUCCUGAGCCACGGAACCCCCAUCCCCCAGCCUCCUGAGCCACGGAGCCCCCCCCCCCCNAAGAGACAGCCCCCAUCCCUCAGCCUCCUGGGCCACGAGCCCCCUACCCCCCCAGCCUCCUGGGCCAUGGAAUCCCCCAUCACCCAGCCUCCUGGACCAUGGAGCCCCUCAUCCUUCAGCCUCCUGGACCACGUACCCCCCACCCCCAGCCUCCUGGGCCACAUGCCUCCCACCCCCCAGCCACCUGGGCCACGAAUCCCCC